GACGAACGCUGGCGGCGUGCCUAACACAUGCAAGUCGAGCGGAGGAUAGCAGAAAGGUAACUUGAAGUUAUUCUUAGCGGCGGACGGGUGAGUAACACGUGGGCAACCUGCCUUGAAGAGGGGGAUAACACCGGGAAAUCGGUGCUAAUACCGCAUAACAUACGUUUCUUGCAUGAGAGAUGUAUCAAAGGAGAAAUCCGCUUUAAGAUGGGCCCGCGGCUGAUUAGCUAGUUGGUAAGGUAACGGCUUACCAAGGCGACGAUCAGUAGCCGACCUGAGAGGGUGACCGGCCACACUGGAACUGAGACACGGUCCAGACUCCUACGGGAGGCAGCAGUGGGGAAUAUUGCGCAAUGGGGGAAACCCUGACGCAGCAACGCCGCGUGGAGGAAGAAGGUCUUCGGAUUGUAAACUCCUGUCUUCUGGGACGAUAAUGACGGUACCAGAGGAGGAAGCCACGGCUAACUACGUG
rnacentral:rRNA from 1 species